rnacentral:rRNA from 1 species
AUGAUGCGUGGAAAGAGACCGGGGGCCUGCAUACCAACAACCCUGCUUGGAUUGGAUGCCCGAUGGUUGCUCCAGAGUGCAUCACGCAUGGCAGCUCCGACGGCGCCGCCGCCGAAGACCGUCCUGAGGGUGGCGGCGAUCUCCGGCUCGCUGCGCAGGGCGUCGGCCAACACCGGCCUCAUCCGCGCCGCCGCACAGAUCUGCAGGGAGUCCAUCCCGGGCCUGCAGAUCGACCACGUCGACAUCUCGGAGCUGCCGCUGCUCAACACCGACCUCGAGGCCGACGGCGGGUUCCCGCCGGCCAUCGAGGCGUUCCGCGACAGCGUCCGCGGGGCCGACUGCUUCCUCUUCGCCUCGCCCGAGUACAACUACUCCAUUUCAGGCCCUCUGAAGAACGCGCUGGACUGGGGAUCACGGCCGCCCAACUGCUGGGCCGACAGAGCCGCGGCGAUGCUGAGCGCGUCGGGCAGCACCGGCGGCAGCCGGUCGCAGUACCACAUCCGGCAGGUCGGGGUGUUUCUCGACAUCCACUUCAUCAACAAGCCGGAGGUCUUCACCAAGGCACACCUGCCCCCGAAAAAGUUCGACGCAGACGGCAACCUGAUCGACUCAGAGACCAAGGAGCAGGUCAGGAAGAUGCUCCUGUCGCUGCAAGCCUUCGCCCUCAGGCUCCAGGGCAAGUCUGCAGACUCUGUUUGA